rnacentral:rRNA from 1 species
CGCUGGCGGCAUGCCUAACACAUGCAAGUCGAACGGUAACGCAAGUAAGUCUUGCUUCUUGGCGACGAGUGGCGGACGGGUGAGUAAUGCUUGGGAAUCUGCCCAGUAGUGGGGGACAACUCGGGGAAACUCGAGCUAAUACCGCAUACGCCCCAAGGGGGAAAGCGGGGGAUCUUCGGACCUCGCGCUAUUGGAUGAGCCCAAGUCGGAUUAUCUUGUUGGUGGGGUAACGGCCUACCAAGGCGACGAUCCGUAGCUGGUCUGAGAGGACGAUCAGCCACACUGGGACUGAGACACGGCCCAUACUCCUACGGGAGGCAGCAGUGGGGAAUAUUGGACAAUGGGCGCAAGCCUGAUCCAGCAAUGCCGCGUGUGUGAAGAAGGCCUGCGGGUUGUAAAGCACUUUCAGUAGAGAAGAAAAGCCUAAGGUUAAUACCCUUGA